UCCUGUAUCGAAAGUGAUCAUGGCGUGUGCGUCGCCAGGUCAUUGAUAGUACAGGAAGAGAAAGCCCGCCAGCCUUUCCCGUGUCUGCAGGACCACCAUUUCCUGUUUGACCCUGAUGCUUGCAGACA